UGAAUACGAGACGCUACGGCGUCGAAGCAGUCUAUGUCAUACUUCCAAGAAAAGCUCGCAAUGUCAUAAACAAAUAAUGCCUGUACCAUAACCGACACAGGUGGGUAGGUAGAGUAUACUAAGGGGCGCGAGAUAACUCUCUCUAAGGAACUCGGCAAAAUGACUCCGUAACUUCGGGAGAAGGAGUGCCUUAUUUAUAAGGUUGCAAUAACAAGAUCCAAGCAACUGUUUAUCAAAAACACAGGUCUCCGCUAAGUCGUAAGACGAUGUAUGGGGGCUGACGCCUGCCCAGUGCCAGAAGGUUAAAGAAGUUGGUUAGCAUUCGCGAAGCUGAUAACUGAAGCCCUGGUGAACGGCGGCCGUAACAAUAACGGUCCUAAGGUAGCGAAAUUCCUUGUCGGGUAAGUUCCGACCCGCACGAAAGGCGUAAUGAUUUGGAUACUGUCUCGGAGAGGGGCUCGGUGAAAUAGACUUGUCUGUGAAGAUGCGGACUACCUGCACCUGGACAGAAAGACCCUAUGAAGCUUUACUGUAACUUGAAAUUGAAAUUGGACUUUAUUUGCGCAGCAUAGGUGGGAGGCGUUGAGAGUAUUCUUGCGGGAAUAUUGGAGCCAUCAGUGAGAUACCACUCUUGUAAUGUUAGAUUUCUAACUUUGGAUCAUUAUCUGGUCAAAGAACAGUUUCAGGCGGGCAGUUUGACUGGGGCGGUCGCCUCCCAAAUGGUAACGGAGGCGUACAAAGGUUUCCUAUGAACGGGUAGAAAUCGUAUCUAGAGUGUAAAGGCAUAAGGAAGCUUGACUGUGAGACCUACAAGUCGAGCAGGGACGAAAGUCGGUCUUAGUGAUCUGACGGUGCUGAGUGGAAAGGCCGUCACUCAACGGAUAAAAGUUACUCUAGGAUAACAGGCUGAUCUCCCCCAAGAGUUCACAUCGACGGGGAGGUUUGGCACCUCGAUGUCGGCUCAUCGCAUCCUGGGGCGGUAGUACGUCCCAAGGGUUGGGCUGUUCGCCCAUGAAAGCGGUACGCGAGCUGGGUUCAGAACGUCGUGAGACAGUUCGGUCCAUAUCCGGUGUAGGCGUUAGAAUAUUGAGAGGAGCCUUCUUUAGCACGAGAGGACCGAGAAGGACAUACCUCUGGUGUACCAGUUAUCGUGCCAACGGUAAACGCUGGGUAGCUAUGUAUGGAGAGGAUAACCGCUGAAAGCAUCUAAGUGGGAAGCCCACCUCAAGAUAAG
rnacentral:rRNA from 1 species